CCUGGUAGCUCAGAUGGUAAAGCAUCUGUCUACAAUGCAGGAGACCCGGGUUCGAUCCCUGGGUCAGGA
rnacentral:tRNA from 1 species